ensembl:snoRNA Gm22934 small nucleolar RNA SNORA17
UCUGCCCCUAGAGGUGUUGCAGGUGUGGUUGCUGUGUCACAUGUGUGUCAGUAGGUGGCAGAGAGGAGAGAGGGUAUUUCAUGCUUAGUUCUCCAAUCUAUGAACAUCUGAAUGAUAAGUAGUCUAACAAU